CGGUGGGGUACGUGGAACUGGUUGUUGAGGAAUAAUGCUCAAAGUGACACGCUGGGCUUCUUUCAAUGAGAAAUUAGUCUUCUUCAACUUGAGAAUCACCACAUUAUUUUGAAAUUCUCUCCUUAGAUCAGUUUCAAAACACACCGCCACCCAAAGGAUACCACAUAAGGUUCAUAGUCAAAUCAGUGGAUCUGUCAUCAAGACAACGUCUUACAAUGGAGACGGAUCAGGUGGAUGAGACAACCCCCCGAAAAGAUUAAGAUCAUCCCCGUCAGGAAACCUCAUUUCCAGAGCUUCGGAUUGUUUAGUCUUAAAACAACACCAUCACAAGCGUCAGAUUCCCACGAUCCCAAUUGAUUCCGAGGUUGAAUAUCACAUUGGAACCGAAGGUGAUGCACGUUGAUCUGAGUAUCACUAAAUUUAACACCCUUGAAAUGAAAUUUGACACCGGGGUGUCCGGACUGAAGAUCGCAAAAUCCUCGUAAAGAUCACUAAAAGAGACUGUGGCUUAAUCUUGUUGUUCACGGGGCUCAAUCUCCGAUAUGAUAACAGAAAACCAAAAAUAGAUUGUCAGCCGGA